GCAUAAAGUGGGAACAGAGUCUGCUAAAGGUUGGUGUUUUGGGUUUGGAGAUGAAAAUAAAAGCAGCAUUGAGCAUAUUGCAGAGAUAGAGUAGGGUAAAGUUAAAGGUUAAAGAUGAUGAAGCCGACCAAUUUGCUUUAAUAUUUCGCUUUUGCUUUGUUCGUUUGUAGAUGUGAUAGAUUUUGCUCAAAUAACCUCAUCUCUUAAGCGUGGGCUACAAUUGCAGAAUGAG
rnacentral:lncRNA from 1 species